rnacentral:sRNA from 1 species
GUCAUUACUAAAAUCCCUGUCGUGGGAAAGGCAUGCCUCGUGCAGUGCCCACCCUCUGAGACUCAAAAGUGUAGUUCACCUCCGCGACCUCACCCCUUCUUCCCUUAGCAUGUGAAAAUGACGGCUUGGCAGUUUCACCCGCUCACAGGAGAGCGUCCAGCUGCUCUGCUCCUGGUAUAAUCCUGGGCCUCCAAAACUGAAACGAGCACAUGAAGAGGACUGUCAGAAGGACGUAGAAGGCACAGUUUUACUGUGAGGAGCAAAGAUUCUUUACCUACGCAUUUUACAAGAAAUGUGCAGAAAGCCAUUGAUAAAUACACCUGCGAAUCCUUGUCAUCCUUUUCCUCCAGCGGAAGCCAUACACCCACGGGAGCCCACACCUCUUGGUCUGGGUCGGCCACACAGAGCUCUACCACCGGCUCAUCCACGGAGAGGGGCUCCAUUUAUUCCUGGAGAGAUGACGAAUUUGACGAAGCCAGUUCACAGUCAGUGCAGCGGUUACUCUGGGAGGUGGAGGAAAUGUUAUUUGAAGGGAAAGUGAACCCUCAGACCCAGAGUCUGCUGGCCGAAUGCGGGGAGUGGACAAGAAGAUCCCUCCAUUUGAGAGUAUUAGGAAGACAGCUGAUCCUGCCCACUGACGAAGGCGUCCAGCAUUUCCAGGGCAGCACUCCUGCCUCCGCAGUCCACAGACCCCCGCUCAGUGCCUGCGGACACAGCAGCAACAUCAGAGAGUUGUGCGUUUCUGGCUCUCAAAUAGUCCCAGCAGCGCUCUCAGCCUCUGCCCUGCCAGGCCCUGAUGACACAGGGGUUGCUGACCUAACGGCACGUUCAUCCCUGGAAGAAGAGGUUUACCAUGUGGAUGGAAAGAUUGAGGAGUAUUUCGCUUUUGACAGAAAAGAGGAUGAUGAUGAAUGUCUUGAACAAAAACCAGCUCAGCCCGGUAGGAAAUGGCACGAACUCGGACUUCCUCCUGUUUCCCCGCGUGACUGUGUCAAAGAUGCCGUGGCAGCAGAAGUGUUUGAUCACGUCUGGACAAAUAUGGUAGAACUUUUGGAAGAGCUGAUUAGAAAACACUGGGAAACUACACUCACAGAAGGGAAAAAACAGAGAGAAACAUUGAAAGUGGCUGGAAACAGAUUUCCGCACGUCCUCAUUCCACGCGCUCACGCCGAUGGAGCCAGUGGCCCCCCGUCCGGACGCUCCGAGGCUCACGGCAUCUCCCUGGCUUCUCGUCCGAACCCGCCCCAGAUUCAUCACUUCUCCAGCAGUUUUUAUAGUGACAUGAAUGGUGUCAUGACAAUUCAAGCAAAACCACUUCAGCGGAGACCUGCCUAUUUUGCUGACAGAACGCAGAAUGAGAAGGAGGACAAAGCAUCGGGUGGAGGGGCAGGUGCUCUCUCCUCCGCACGGCACAGACUGGGACGGGCCUCAGACACUCAUGGAUUAUCACCUUCUGCAAAGAAAACACCAGUGCCCUGGAGGCUGCCUUCUCUUGCUUCAGAUUCACAGAGACUAAAAACUCCCAACAUCUAUAGUGACGAAGUUCUUCGGGGAACAAAACUGCCGACUGGCGUGGACCACAUGGCUUCCCCACUGGUUCAAACGUCACGGAGCAGGUUCCCCCCGAUAGGCACGGAGACCAGGGAGCAGAAUACAGCAGUUCCUGGAUGCCGCCUUGUUUCUUACAGAGGAAGGCAUCUACAAACCCGUGUGUCGAGUGCCAUGCCUGACGGUACAGAACGAUCGCGUCUUCGAGAAAGAACAGCCACCCUGGAACAGUUGUCAAGGCCCAGCACAACCCACACGUUCCGGCAGUCGGAUACGCCUCGAAAAAGUUCAUUGACACAAAUGGAAUUUGCUGCUCACACAUGGACAGGUCAAAGUAUUUUGACAGGUCAGCUUUUCUCCAUAUGUAAAUAAAGUGAUGUAGUAAGUGAGAUUUCAAGUUUCAGACAGUGAAAU